rnacentral:rRNA from 1 species
CACGUAGGGCGCGAGCGUUGUCCGGAAUUAUUGGGCGUAAAGAGCUCGUAGGCGGCCUGUUGCGUCCGCUGUGAAAGCCCCGGGGCUUAACCCCGGGUCGGCAGUGGAUACGGGCAGGCUAGAGGUAGGUAGGGGAGAAUGGAAUUCCUGGGUGUAGCGGUGAAAUGCGCAGAUAUCAGGAGGAACACCGGUGGCGAAGGCGGGUCUCUGGGCCGAUGACUGACGCUGAGGAGCGAAAGCGUGGGGAGCGAACAGG